rnacentral:rRNA from 1 species
UACGGGGGGGGCAAGCGUUGUUCGGAAUUACUGGGCGUAAAGGGUUUGUAGGUGGCCAACUAAGUCAGACGUGAAAUCCCUCAGCUUAACUGGGGAACUGCGUCUGAGACUGGAUGGCUUGAGUGCAGGAGAGGAACGCGGAAUUCCAGGUGUAGCGGUGAAAUGCGUAGAUAUCUGGAGGAACACCGGUGGCGAAGGCGGCAUCCUGGACCGACACUGACACUGAGGAGCGAAAGCCAGGGGAGCAAACGGG